AUUAAACGCUGGCGGCAUGCCUUACACAUGCAAGUCGAACGGCAGCACGGGGGCGACCCUGGUGGCGAGUGGCGGACGGGUGAGUAAAGCAUCGGAACGUGCCCUGGAAUGGGGGAUAACGUAGCGAAAGUUACGCUAAUACCGCAUAUUCUGUGAGCAGGAAAGCAGGGGAUCGCAAGACCUUGCGUUCUGGGAUCGGCCGAUGUCGGAUUAGCUAGUUGGUGGGGUAAAGGCCUACCAAGGCGACGAUCCGUAGCGGGUCUGAGAGGAUGAUCCGCCACACUGGGACUGAGACACGGCCCAGACUCCUACGGGAGGCAGCAGUGGGGAAUUUUGGACAAUGGGCGCAAGCCUGAUCCAGCCAUGCCGCGUGAGUGAAGAAGG
rnacentral:rRNA from 1 species